ensembl:snRNA LOC120097619 U2 spliceosomal RNA
AUCGCUUCUCGGCCUUUUGGCUAAGAUCAAGUGCAGAAUGGAAAAUACCCAGUGCUAUAUUAGUAUUUUCAUAAAUAUUUAAUUACUGAGAAACAAUAUUGCUAUAGCAACAAUGCUCAGACAUUAGACUCAGGUCUUACAAAAACAAGGAUUACGUGGUCUCCAGUCUCAUGA